AUGUAUUGUGGAUCAUACUAAACAAGGCCAGCAGAGUAAAGGUGGGAUACUUGCGAAGGCUUGCGACUAUAUCCAAGACCUGAGAAGUACCAAUGUCCGAUUACCUGAUAUAUUAAAGGACAACGAGCAGCUUUCAUUGAACAUUGAGUUACUGAGACAACAGUGUGAAGACUUGAAAAAUGAAAAUCAGAUGUUCCGAGCACAUCUGCAACAACAAGGGAUUAGUAUAUCUGAUCAGCUGAGAACAAAUUCAACAUAGCUGAUAUUACAAAGAGUGUAUGCAUUGGUAUUCAGGCCGUAUAGAAUGUCUGAUUUUGACUUGUUCAAGGUUUUUACUUCAAAAGAAAAACAUGUACUCCAGCAACUUUGAAGUUUUUUAACCAGAGAAACAAAGAAACGGCACUAGUGUUGGUUUGCCUUAUUUAUCACUUGUUUAAAACGUAUAUAUAUCAGUGGGUGAAAAAGAUCACGUGAAACCGUUGCUGCUUUUGGUACCCAUUUUAUGUUAUAAUUAGGAGAUAAAAUUCUUGUUAUUAUUAUUAUUAUUGCCUAAAGUAAGGGUGGAGUUUUGUAAAUAUUUUAAAUGAAACUUGUGAAACAGAAAUUAUUUCUACAAAUUUUACAUUGUGUACUUAUGUAGCAAGCAAGUGCGAACAGUUACCUAAAAGUCUGUAUGUCUGUCGCUUUGUUGAGAAUGACACAUUUGGUUUAUACUAAGGUGAGGAUAUGGUUGAACCAUUAUAAGUUUAUAGAUACACAUGAAUUACAGGUAAGUAGGUAGAGAAAAAUGAAUUACAGGUAAGUAGGUAGAGAAAAAUGAAUUACAGGUAAGUAGGUAGAUACACAUGAAUUACAGGUAAGUAGGUAGAUACACAUGAAUUACAGGUAAGUAGGUAGAGAAAAACCCUGUUAGUAUUUUGUUUAUUGGAAUACUUUUAACCCUUUAACUUAGAUUAUCAAACAACUGAAUAUACACUUAACAUAACAGAUUUAAUAGAGAGCAUGUGAAACUAAAUAUUUUAACACACUCAUUAUUCCAGGAUGUUUUCUUUCACGUUAUGUUCCAUGCUCAGAUUGUGGCAUGAUUUCUUUUCAACGUUUAUUAAAUAAGAUAAACAUAUAAACGGUUUUGGCGUAUUAACUUGGAUUGGUAGCACACAUAGACAUCGGUUAAUAACCAUUACAACGAAACAUAACCUGGAUUACACGUCCUGCUAUCCAUAAGCUCUUUAGUUGUGAGGGUGAAAGUUUUAGUACAUGUAGAGUGUUUUAUAUCUAUAAUUAUAUUGAAUCAAUAAAACAGUAAUUUUUUUUCUACACUACGUAAAGUAAGAGCAUGAUAUUAUACUUGUAUUUUAAGUACAUUCAGACAAGAGUUAACCCGUAUGUUAUGUGCAUAUGUAUAUAUUAUACAUGCAUGUGUACAGAAUUGAAAAUUGUGCUUUGCACAUGCUGUAAGCAGCAGAUAAAAUAAAAUGUGUAAUAAAUGUG
rnacentral:lncRNA from 1 species